rnacentral:tRNA from 1 species
CGCGGGGUGGAGCAGCCCGGUAGCUCGUCAGGCUCAUAACCUGAAGGUCGUAGGUUCAAAUCCUACCCCCGCAAC